rnacentral:rRNA from 1 species
AACGAACGCUGGCGGCAGGCUUAACACAUGCAAGUCGAACGCCCCGCAAGGGGAGUGGCAGACGGGUGAGUAACGCGUGGGAAUCUACCCAACUCUACGGAAUAACUCAGGGAAACUUGUGCUAAUACCGUAUACGCCCUUCGGGGGAAGAUUUAUCGGAGUUGGAUGAGCCCGCGUUGGAUUAGCUAGUUGGUGGGGUAAAGGCCUACCAAGGCGACGAUCCAUAGCUGGUCUGAGAGGAUGAUCAGCCACAUUGGGACUGAGACACGGCCCAAACUCCUACGGGAGGCAGCAGUGGGGAAUAUUGGACAAUGGGCGCAAGCCUGAUCCAGCCAUGCCGCGUGAGUGAUGAAGGCCUUAGGGUUGUAAAGCUCUUUCACCGGAGAAGAUAAUGACGGUAUCCGGAGAAGAAGCCCCGGCUAACUUCGUGCCAGCAGCCGCGGUAAAAUGCGUACU